UACGUAGGGGGCAAGCGUUGUUCGGAAUUACUGGGCGUAAAGGGCGCGUAGGCGGCACGGCAAGUCAGGAGUGAAAGCCCUGGGCUCAACCCGGGAACUGCUUUUGAAACUGCCGAGCUAGAGUGCGGAAGGGGCAACUGGAAUUCCCAGUGUAGCGGUGAAAUGCGCAGAGAUCAGGAGGAACACCCGUAGCGAAGGCGGCACUCUGGGCCGAUACUGACACUGAGGAGCGAAAGCGUGGGGAGCGAACAGG
rnacentral:rRNA from 1 species